rnacentral:rRNA from 1 species
UACAGAGGGGGCAAGCGUUGUUCGGAAUUACUGGGCGUAAAGGGCGCGUAGGCGGCCUUCUAAGUCGAACGUGAAAUCCCCGGGCUCAACCCGGGAACUGCGUCCGAUACUGGAAGGCUUGAAUCCGGGAGAGGGAUGCGGAAUUCCAGGUGUAGCGGUGAAAUGCGUAGAUAUCAGGAGGAACACCGAUGGCGAAGGCAGGUCUCUGGGCAUUAACUGACGCUGAGGAGCGAAAGCAUGGGGAGCGAACAGG